rnacentral:rRNA from 1 species
UACGGAGGGUGCGAGCGUUGUCCGGAAUCAUUGGGCGUAAAGGGCGCGUAGGUGGCGGGACAAGCGUGCGGUGAAAGCCUGGGGCUCAACCCCGGGUCGGCCGUGCGAACUGUUUUGCUUGAGCACUGUAGAGGCAGGCGGAAUUCCGGGUGUAGCGGUGGAAUGCGUAGAGAUCCGGAAGAACACCGGUGGCGAAGGCGGCCUGCUGGGCAGUAGCUGACACUGAGGCGCGACAGCGUGGGGAGCAAAUGGG